UUUCACGUGUUCGUACAUACAGUGCCUGACUGACCUUGUCAAAUCCACAAAUGGUGUUGCUGUGUUACCGUUGCUAACUUACCGUUUGACUUGUUUAAUUUUGCUCAAACACCACAGCGAUAUAAACGAACAAAAACACGGUUGAACUUGACAAGUUGAAAAAUUACUCGGCAAGACGUGAGUGAGCCUAGACAAACUUGCAGCUCGAAACAGGAACUAUGAGAAAGUGUAAUAUGAAAGCUCUCCAGAAGUAUGGGUUGUUCCCGAGACAGAAGCAGAGCUUAAAGAUUUUAAAGUUAAUCCACAUUAUUAACACAGGAAAUAAAGUGCUGCUCAAAACUAGCAGAAGUCAUCACGAGUCAGUUGGACAGUAAGAAGAAUGUAACAAGUGUGAAAAUGUAUCUAAGGAGUGUCAGUUUUGAUAACCCAACCAAAUGUUAUUAAAGUAGUGUCACAAAACAUCUUAUUUUAUUGUACUCACUCAUCC